rnacentral:rRNA from 1 species
CCUACGGGAGGCAGCAGUGGGGAAUAUUGCACAAUGGGGGAAACCCUGAUGCAGCGACGCCGCGUGAGUGAAGAAGUAUUUCGGUACGUAAAGCUCUAUCAGCAGGGAAGAAAAUGACGGUACCUGACUAAGAAGCCCCGGCUAACUACGUGCCAGCAGCCGCGGUAAUACGUAGGGGGCAAGCGUUAUCCGGAUUUACUGGGUGUAAAGGGAGCGUAGACGGCAGCGCAAGUCUGGAGUGAAAUCCCAUGGCUUAACCAUGGAACUGCUUUGGAAACUGUGCAGCUAGAGUGCAGGAGAGGUAAGCGGAAUUCCUAGUGUAGCGGUGAAAUGCGUAGAUAUUAGGAGGAACACCAGUGGCGAAGGCGACUUACUGGACUGUAACUGACGUUGAGGCUCGAAAGCGUGGGGAGCAAACAGGAUUAGAUACCCGAGUAGUC